rnacentral:tRNA from 1 species
GGAUAUAGCUAAGUUGGUAGAGUGCUUGCCUUGCAUGCACAAGGCUUGGUUCAAUCCCGAGCACCA